rnacentral:misc_RNA from 1 species
UUGACAUUUCAAAUUGGUCGGAAAAUGAAAACACGCUUUCUUUCAACAGAACUUCGUAAGUGAUCACGGAAUUCGCCGCGGACGGUCGGAACUGGUUCGCGGAAUCAACGCGGACGGCUGUAACUGGUUCGCGGACCUGUCGUGGAGGAAGGAGUCGACUGGUCGCGGAAUUUAACGUAGACGAUCGGAACUCAACGCGGACGGUUGGAACUGGUUCGCUGAAUCAACGCGGAUGGUCGGAAUUGGUUCGCGGACCUGUCGUGGGGGAAGGAGUUGGGGUUUAUCCUCCUGCGCAAACCCACUCCCACUGGGUGGUGUCCAAAUGGUGGUCCGACGGAAGCUGCAACUGCGACUGCUUGUAGUAUCGAUGACCGCAGCACCUCGGGUUCAAUCAGUUUCCGCGAUUGGACCGUCAGCUAACCGAUACUACUCCAAGAGUCAGCUACGAGACAAUCAUCUUUCCAUUUUGCCCACUCGCACGCUUCAGACGCCAUCAGCUUUUGCAAAUCGAGCUCAGCUGUCGGCAGCAGCAACUCACCGAAACACCUACGCCGGGGAGAUGCUCGUGACGCACGACGCGACGAGGACCGCGUACAAUCUGUUCAAAAUGUGUCCCAGCCCGCAGUCGGUCGGCAUCCUCGGCCAACUGGACAAUUUUAAUCCACCUAAAACGGACGAACUUGCUGCUGCUGAAGUGCCGAAGCAGAAGUUAGGUUUUGGAGGUGUUUGGGGCGUCGCUGGUGAGCAAACCAGCUGCCGGUGGAAAUGACUUUGCCGACUAUGCGGCGUUUCGAUCGGAGCCUGUGCCAAUGCCAGUUGCGGCGGCUGAUUAGACGAUGUUCGGUGGCCAAAACUUUCACCACGCCUGCGUCAUACCGCGCCCACUUCUUACGCGGCAGUAACAAUAUCGACACCAGCAGCAGCGCCGGUCUAAUCGACAGCGGAAUACCAACUUCGUUUGCUUCUUCCUCUUUAGCAGCAGCAUCCGCAGGGCAUCAUGAUGAAGGGAAUCACGGAGGACCGCACCACCACUAUCAAGCGUCGCAAGUCGGCGGCGUGGACGGAGAAGGUCGGGGUCAUGGACACGUAACCGGACCCGGUGAAUCACAUUGCGUUGCCGUUUGUGCUCAAGGACGAACCGCUGCAGGUGGGUGCGUCGAAGGCACCAGGUUACUGUGGAACUGACGUAUCAUCGCCGAUCAGCUCCAAAGCAUCGAGCAGCACAACGACACGAAUAGCAGUGGCCACAUGCUGCGACACUUGCAACAGCAAUUUCAGCCCGGCCGAAUCCGUCGUCAAAUGGGUAGAACGUCAUCAAAUCUCCACAGCAGUCAGAUUCCUUCGGAUCUGCUUCAGUCAUCCUACCACAUGAAACAGGCCGCGGGAAGCAAUCUAAGCAACAUUUCACCAACCCAAAACAUCCUUUUCGGCAAUUCCACCUUCGCAGAACCAUCAAUCGGCAAACUGUCGAA